GGACCUAAUGGUCAGGGGUCCAUUUACCUUUACCUUUAUAUAUAACUAAUGGCCUACUAAGAAUUAUUCAUUAAGUUGUUUUGAUGCAGAUGGGGCUCCACCAUUGUAAAGCACCAAAGCAAUUCCUGGAACUUGUGAUAUUUGAACGGACUUUCCCCCCUAACCAAUAAAAGGACCGGGGGGGGGGAGUGUCCUCCAUUUUAUAUAAUAAAAUAAAAUGACAUGGUGUCAUCUAAGAGGCUACAGAAGCCGAAGUAAGCGUAGAAUGAUGAAAUUUGCAUUUCCUGCUUCUCUGUGCAUGCUGUGCUGUAAAUGUGAAAUUUCUAUUUAACUGUGAAUACAGAAACACAGUGGUUGUAGAAGUUCAGUCAGGAUCACUGCACCAUAAUGGUGGCUAAAUAUUUUAAAAUUAUGAAUUUCAGUCUUGUUUUUGUUAUGUGAUUGAAUGAGUGUCUAGUUCUCAUGGAAUCCUCAAAGCCACCCAGAUUGCAAUGUUUGCAAAAGUGUCAAGAAACAGAGGAGGUCUUGUGUCUGUAUGAUCCUAUUAGUGCUUUUGCUCUGCUGGUGCCAGAUUACACCAACAGCGCAUAUAAAUAUAAAGUCAUCCAGAGACCUGAGAGCAGAUUCCAGCUGAGCAGAUCUCAAGCAAAUUUUUUGUGCGGGGAAGAUGAUUUUGUGUAAGGCCCUACAGACUUCCCCGUAUCCCCAUAAGUGUGAAGCUAGUGCACACCAGGGGAAAUGCCUCUGACAUCUCUGCAAUGCACAAAGGUUCCUUGGCAUCAAAGGGGACAUGGAAGAGGGAGAGAGCCUGAAACCUCAGGCUCUGGGAGGCUGCUUUCUUCAAAGGAUCUGAAGAGAAUCAUGAAGAUGGUGGCCAGGAGGUAAUUUUAUGCACGUCUGAAACUGUCGCUCCCAGCACUGAAGCCGGACUGUCUGGGAGCUCAUCUGGUGGGGCUUUGCUUCACUUGGAAGGGGGCCUGUCUGCAUUGCGCCCACUCCUUAGGAGGUCCUAUGGGGGAUGGAGGUGGUUGCUGCUCAUGACUACAUCCCCACACAUGUUUGUCAGCUGGCUGGCUGCAACAUAUGCCCAGACGCCUUGCUUUUGAAGUUCUGCCUUAUGCAACAAGUUAAAAAACAGUGGGGCAUUUGGGGUGAACAUGAGCUGGUCAAAGUAGUCCAGGAAUCUUCCAAUUUUUGAAAUUUAAUUUCAAUUUGCAGUAGGAGGGCCAGGGAGGGGGGCAUGUGGAGGCCAUCCUAGGUUUCCCAACAUCAGUUUUCCUUCUCUCUUUGGGGCAAGUGGUGAAUAAAUUGUUGCAGCCCACUCCCUGCUUGUGUGCCAUAAUUCUUCCUUUGAAGCCCAGUUCAAAUUGAAGCUGUUGGGCUGAAAAAGGGGGGGGGGUUCUCAGGUCAGACAUCAUAUAAGGCUUAGGAAAGGUGGGUAUGGUUAGCCCAAAAUAACCCAGGAUUGUGGACUAGAGUGUAGAGUUGCAUUUCCAACACUAUAGGAAGCAGAAGAUUUGCACUGCAGAUGGUCAAAACUAAAAAUAACCCGCUGCAAUUACCAAAGAGGUAUGCAAAAGCAAAAUGAUCAAGGGCUGAAGCAAUUCCCCAUGAGGAAUAGUUGCAAUGUUUGGGGCUUUUUAGUUUAGAGAAGAAAAUUAUUCAACAAGGCAGGUAAGUGGGGGCAGGAUAAAGGGAUAUAAGAUUCUGCAUGGCAUGGGUAAAAGGAGCUAAAAACCUUUCUCCUUCACAUCAUAGCAGAGCCUGGGGUAAUAGCCAAAGCUUUAGAUUGUUAGGGUGAUUCUGGACAAAUAAAAAGAAGCACUUCCCCACACAGCACUAUGGAACUCACUGCUACAAGAUGUAGUGUUGGCCCUCAAGUUGGACAGUUUAGACAAGCUCAUAAAGGACAAGGCUGCUCGCUCUCCUCUUGACACCGGCUGCUGGGAAUCAAGCGCAGGAGAGAGAGAUUGCACUCUGGUCCUGCUUGUGAGGUUGGCGCCCAUGAAUGCAGGAUGCUGGACUAGAUGGGCCUCUGGGCUGACCAGGCCAGGCUCGUCUAAGUUUUUAUAAAUAGGGCUGUCAUGUGAUUAUUAGGGUUUUUAAGCCAAUUGAAUAAAAUGAGUUUGAAUUAAAUGGAGCUGCUUAGAUGCGCAGAAAUUUGCAUAUAAUUAAAACAGGAAAACAUGCCUCUAUGAAUUGUGGAUGACUGCAUCAGGGUCCCUUUUAAAAGAGGCAUUUAAUCUCUGAGUGCCUCUCUAAACACUGUACUGGCUUGUAAUUCCCCCCCAAGUGCCUCUGUUACAAGUAGUUUGUUCCUCUUUUUGUAAGUGCCUGACUAAUUGAGAUAGUCCAUUAAAGGUUGCAGCUUUAGCUAUUAAAAUAUAUUCUAUGCAACUGUUAAAGAACUACGCUCACUUGCAUUUGAUUCUCCCUCCCCUCACCCAGACUCCUUCCUUUUCUCUCCCUCUCUCAGCUUUUCUCCUCUUCAAAAAGAACCGCAGAAUUGUGGAGACCCCACAAUGAUACACCUUAUGUCAGGACACAAAGUCCUUGUGGGUUUCAGGCCACUGGAUGAAGAUCAGGUUUGGAGGUAGUCUGGGAAUCACGGGGGGGGGGGGGAGCACUCGUGAUCAUGUCCUGCUUCCAUGUUUUUCCAAGGCAUCUGGUUGGUGACUGUGAGAACAGGGUGAUGGAUGGGUCUUUGGCCUGAUCAAAGAGUCAGAUGCUUUGUUCUCACUGGUCCAACACUGUUUUCUGUCUCUGCAAUGUGGUAAGGUCCUUUCUGCCCAUUUCAUUCCUUGAUCUAGCAUGUGUAGGAUGACCUCUCAUCAAGGAGAUUUCUGUUACAUCUCUCCACUUUGGAGUGUGUGUGUGUGGUUCCAGAGUGUGCAACUUUGCAGCCACUCCAGCAUGCCAAUCUGUGCACAUGAACUUGGACGAAGAGCACAUCUGGCCACAGUUUUGCUUUACAAAGAGAAAUGCUUCUGCUUAAGUGCAAUACUUUAGAACAAUUUUCUUCUUAAAAGUGGGGUGGGAAAUCAUAAGGCUGAGUGAAAACAAGCUUUCAAAAUAUUAAAAAAGUCAAAACUGCUCCCCCUAACAUAGCUUUGUUCUGUGGGCUUUGCAGACACCAUGUGAUUUAAGGAAGUGUGCAUGUGUUUAUUGGAGGCUGCAGGGAUGGCUCUCUAUUACCCAGACUGGAGCUGCUGCCUCAGACAGGAACAUUAGGGAGCAAAAAGCAGCAAUGAGGUGCUGAAGGAGAGCGCUGCGUCUUGACACCCACAGCUUCCUAAGUUCUUGGGCUACACCAAAACAUCCUGGAGGAUCCUGAUCUUUUGCCAGCAUUACAGUAAGAUUCAACUCCUGACCUGACUGAUGUCUGCAUACAAAAUUUGGAGGGAGCACACUGGUUAUCUCAGGUAUCAAAAAUUUUGAGACUGGCCCUGGGUGUCUUGUUUAUUCCACUCUAGUUUUGCUAGCCCCAAGGGUGGGCUCUUCUCUUCUCAAAAUGUCAGAGUCCCUUUCGUUGUUGUUGUUGUUGUUGUCUUUGGCAACCAUCUGUCUCGAGAGACAAUGGAGUGUGUCUCCAUGGUGAAGCCAAACCACUGCAUUAGUAGCACCGAAUUGACCUCCCCAAGGAGCAAGCCUGGGCAAUGUGCAUAGAGAUCCUGAGCUGCCCAGAGGACAAGACCUCCCAUCCUUCUUGGGCUUGCUGAUGUGGUCCAAAGGAAAGCAGAGCAAGAUGUUUGGCAUCAACUUGGCUGCAGGAGUUGCCGGAACGAGGUGCACAAUGCACCAUCCAACUGUCCUAGGGACUCCACAUUGGAUUUGUGUAGGGCCUACUCCUUGGUAUUUUCUUUUCCUGAAGAUAUCCCACAAGGCAGUGGAGAUUUGGGAUCAGAGUUUUCCUUCUCCUAGAUGGGCUCCAUCUCCUUCUCAUUUCCAUCUUCAGAAACAGCCUUCUUGACCAUUGGACCCACUCUUGAUCUUGUCUGUUCUAUCCAUCAAAACCUGUCUUUGCAUGUAGAGGAAGUCUCUAACUCACCCAGGGUUUGAGAUCCAUCGACUACCCUUAUCUAGUUUAGCCAGACAGUUAAAUCUGUUCCCAGGGUAUGACCACUGUCAUGAGCAAACUACUUCAGAAGAAGUCCCGUAACACCCCAUACACCCUUUCUUAGUCACUGCAAAUAAUAUUCAGCAACUGUUCUGGGGUGAGAGAUUUCAGUGUGUGCCAUCCACACACUUUCAUGAAACCUUUGCAGUGAUCAGGACUAGAAACACUGGGUUUUGUUUUGUUUUGUUUUGUUUUGUUUUGUUUUGUUUUGUUUUGUUUUGUUUUGUUUUGUUUUCAUAACUGCACUGGGUUUUGGACCUGGAGGGCUGGGGGAGGAAUAUAGCUUAGUGACAGAGUGCAGAAGGUCCCAGGUUCUAUCUAUCCCCAGUGGAAUCUCUAGCUAGGGCCGGUAAAGAGAGCCCCUGCUUGAAACCCUGGAGAGCUGCUGCCAGUUAGUGUAGACCUUGUUUAGCCAGAUGGAACACAACAGCCUGACUCAGCAUAAGGCAGCUCCGUAAGUUCCUCUGGCCAUCCUGCAUUUGGACUGCAGUUUUGCUGGGGAUGGAGCAGAAGGCUUGUGAUGAUUCAUUCGAUGUGUAUUAAUAGUACCAUCAAGAUAAUGUUUUUUUGUCUAGCUGUGCAGCACCCAAUCCCAGCAAACCCAAAUAUUGCACUCUCCAUCUGGCUUGUGGCUGCUUCUUCAGCAAAGGAAGCUUUGAGGAAUUGUUUGGAAAGAACACUGUACAGCACGUUCUGCUGAGGAGAAAAACCCAUGGGCUUUUCAUCCAGGAGGAAAAAAGUUUUUUUGCCUUCUUGCAUAGUGAUGUGGAUGUGGGCCAAUUCAUUACCAGGAAUGACCCAGCCCAUAGCAGUUGGAAGGUUGGUGCCCUCCUUCUGAAGAGGCCUGUGGGUGGAGAGGGGCUUAUUCAGCCUUUUUCAUGGCUGUUGGUUGGAUAUAUCCUUCAAGUCCUGGGCUGGGUUAACUUUGCGCCAAGAAUGCAAGAGUGUUCCUGGUGAUGCUUUUGCACAUGGGGAGGGAAUCUUUAACAUCUCUUUUCCUUGUGGAAGUUGCCCCUGAGGAAAGGUGGUUUUCUUAAUUAGAGGGGCUGCCUUCAUUGUUGUUUCUUUAUUUUCUCAAGGUUUGCAACAAAAAUCCCUGUGAUCCUCUCAAAAGUGAAAACAUAUCUCAGGAACAGGUGGCGUGUGAAGCCCUAUAGACAGAUGUUUCUGGACUCCACCAUUCUUGACUGCUGGCCAUGCUGCUGACGGUUGAUGGGGGUCCAUCAGCCCCGGAAGGCCAGAGGCUUCCCACCCCCCAGCACAAUAUUUUCUCAGUCCUGACAUUUGGUUAUUACAUUAGAUGUGUUUGUUUAUCUAACGAGUGCUGAGGAAGAUGGUAGUUCACUGACUUCUGAUAUGACUUCCAAGACACACUAAGUUUUUAUGAAAAAUGUCCAUUUUGGUUCCCAAAGUCCUAGCUCUGACCAGUGAGUGCAGGUGAUUCUCAACUUAUGCAGAGGUUAUGGUCCGGGAGCAGUGCCUAAAGCUAAAAUCAUGUAAAAUCAUGUAUAGUCAAAGCACACUUUCCCUGCACCUCUGAAUGCUGCACCGUGCCGGUAAGAGGGGCGCCAUGGGCUGGAUAGACGAGCCCUGUGGGCCACUGCCGACCCACGGGCCUUAGGUUGCCAACCCCUGAUCUAAACCAAUCUGGAGGGCAUACAGAUUGCUUUUCAGUUUCACCAGAUGUCCACCCCCAUAUUUAGCCUGGCUUGGUGAGUAAUCCAAAGGAAACACUAUUAACUUCAAAGGAAUGCAGUCAGUUCUUACAAGGUUCAGGGCUGACUCCAGGUGGAUCUGCUAACUAUUUGCUUUUGAAUCAGUGGUUCGGUUGGGUAUGAAUCAAAUGCCUGCCAAAAUUGGAUGCCAUUUCCAGAGGAACAGCCCUGUUAAUCUUUUGCAGUAAAAGCAACCAAGAAUCUUCUGCAACCUUAGAGACUAACAAAUAAGCUCUCUUGGGCUACAGUUCAAUUCAGCUGAUGCAUGAAGUGUUAUUCUGAGCUGCAGGAGGGGGAGGGGGUUGUAGAAAGUGAGGUCAGGGGAGUGAAAUGCAGACAGUAAUUAUAUAAUUAACUGUGGUAGUAUGUUUUUUU